ACGGGAGGCAGCAGUGGGGAAUAUUGCACAAUGGGGGAAACCCUGAUGCAGCAACGCCGCGUGAGUGAUGAAGUAUUUCGGUAUGUAAAACUCUAUCAGCAGGGAAGAAGAUGACGGUAUCUGACUAAGAAGCACCGGCUAAAUACGUGCCAGCAGCCGCGGUAAUACGUAUGGUGCAAGCGUUAUCCGGAUUUACUGGGUGUAAAGGGAGCGCAGGCGGCUCUGCAAGCCAGAGGUGAAAACCCGGGGCUCAACCCCGUGAUUGCCUUUGGAACUGUAGAGCUUGAGUACUGGAGGGGCAGGCGGAAUUCCUGGUGUAGCGGUGAAAUGCGUAGAUAUUAGGAGGAACACCAGUGGCGAAGGCGGAUUGCUGGACGACAACUGACGGUGAGGCGCGAAAGCGUGGGGAGCAAACAGGAUUAGAUACCCUGGUA
rnacentral:rRNA from 1 species